rnacentral:piRNA from 1 species
UCUGCAAAAGGUCAGGCUGGUGUCAGGCAGCCCAGC